rnacentral:rRNA from 1 species
AUUGAACGCUGGCGGCAGGCCUAACACAUGCAAGUCGAACGAGUGGCGGACGGGUGAGUAAUGUCUGGGAAACUGCCUGAUGGAGGGGGAUAACUACUGGAAACGGUAGCUAAUACCGCAUACCAUCGGAUGUGCCCAGAUGGGAUUAGCUAGUUGGUGGGGUAACGGCGCACCAAGGCGACGACCCCUAGCUGGUCUGGGAGGAUGACCAGACACACUGGAACUGAGACACGGGCCAGACUCCUACGGGAGGCAGCAGUGGGGAAUAUUGCACAAUGGGCGCAAGCCUGAUGCAGCCAUGCCGCGUGUAUGAAGAGGGCCUUCGGGUUGUAAAGUACUUUCAUCGGGGAGGCGUUACCCGCAGAAGAAGCACCGGCUAACUCCGUGCCAGCAGCCGCGGUAAUUC